rnacentral:tRNA from 1 species
GCCUUCGUGGUGUAAUGGUCAGCACACUCGGCGCGUAUUCGAGAGGUCUGAGGUUCGAGUCCCGGGGAGGGCA